CUGUACUCCUCCUCUCCUCCUUGCUCGCGACGUCAUCGGCUGAAUGCGCAUGUGCGGCAGGAGCCGCGCGCGCAUUCAGCCGGUCGCAUAGGAAAGCAUUUACAAUGCUUUCCUAUGGACGCUUGCGUGCUCUCACUGUGAUUUUCACAGUGAGAAGCACGCAAGCGCCUCUAGCGGCUGUCAAUGAGACAGCCACUAGAGGCUCUGGAGGCUGGAUUAACCCUCAG